AUGGGGUUAUUAACCCAUUAACCCUUUCCUUUCCUCUCCUAUAGAGAUCAAAGUGGAGUACGUCCCCAAACAAGAGCCCCCCAAGAUCCACCUGGACUGCUCAGGCCAGUCGUCAGAGAACACCAUCGUGGUGGUGGCCGGG